rnacentral:lncRNA from 1 species
AAUUUCAGAAAAAAAAAAUGCAUAAAGUUACAUGUAUCAGAUAUUAGAAAAUAAAGUUACAACUUACAUGUAUGAGAUAUAAAAAUAGAAAAUAAAGUUACAUGUAUCAUAUAUUAGAAAGUGAGAUUGUAUAAUUGGUAUAUUCAGUCAGCCACAUUAUUCCAUUAAAAAUUUCUGAAUUUACAGUAUAAGUUUAAUAUGACCUAUAAACUUUCACUUUUCAAUCAACAUUACAUUACACCAUCAUCAUUUUUAUAUUAUAUUUCAUUUUAAUACAUGUACACAUAUUUUAUGCUGAUGAUAUACAUACACACUUCACCCCAACUAAGUAUAUUUAGUUUAGUAGAGUACCCUUUAAGUGUCUGUAUGUGGAUGUUACUAAUUGUCAAGGAAUCUUAAUUAUUAUAGCCAUUUAGGGAAAUCAAAAUUACAUUUUAGUUUUCAUUUGAUAUAAAAAUGUUAUGCUAAUAAGCUGAGUGAAAAGAAUGUAGAAACACAAGUAUCAGUGAAGUUUGAUAACUUUAUUUUGAGUGUAGUACUCUGGUGAGGUGUAAAUUAACUGUUUGUUAGAUUCCAUGUUUUAUCUCUGAUGUUUUAGAUCUGAACUGUCUUUUUUUUUCCAAUUGUGCAUCUGGUGCAUUGUAUUAGAUUCUGAAUCAUGUAUAUUUUUUAUCAGAUAAGAUGAUUCAAGUUAAAAAAAGAUAAGAUUUUAAAAUCAUAUGAAAGAACAAAUUAAACAAAUUAUUUCCCCCUAAAGUUGUAAGCUGUAUAGGUUUAUUACUGCAUCCAACAUUAUAUGUACAUUAAUGAUUUUAGGAAAUACUAAACUUUUACAAAAAUAAAUAUUUUUUAUGCCCCACCUACGAUAGUAGAGGGGCAUUAUGUUUUCAGGUCUGUGCGUCCGUUCGUCUGUUCGUCCGUUCGUCCGUCUGUCCCGCUUCAGGUUAAAGUUUUUGGUCAAGGUAGUUU